CCUACGGGGGGCAGCAGUGGGGAAUAUUGGACAAUGGGGGGAACCCUGAUCCAGCCAUGCCGCGUGUGUGAAGAAGGCCCUCGGGUUGUAAAGCACUUUCAGUGAGGAAGAACGCCUGGUGGUUAAUACCCAUCAGGAAAGACAUCACUCACAGAAGAAGCACCGGCUAACUCCGUGCCAGCAGCCGCGGUAAUACGGAGGGUGCGAGCGUUAAUCGGAAUUACUGGGCAUAAAGCGCGCGUAGGUGGCUUGAUAAGCCGGUUGUGAAAGCCCCGGGCUCAACCUGGGAACGGCAUCCGGAACUGUCAAGCUAGAGUGCAGGAGAGGAAGGUAGAAUUCCCGGUGUAGCGGUGAAAUGCGUAGAGAUCGGGAGGAAUACCAGUGGCGAAGGCGGCCUUCUGGACUGACACUGACACUGAGGUGCGAAAGCGUGGGUAGCAAACAGGAUUAGAUACCCCAGUAGUC
rnacentral:rRNA from 1 species